AGAGUUUGAUCAUGGCUCAGGAUGAACGCUAGCUACAGGCUUAACACAUGCAAGUCGAGGGGCAGCAUUUCAGUUUGCUUGCAAACUGGAGAUGGCGACCGGCGCACGGGUGAGUAACACGUAUCCAACCUGCCGUCUACUCUUGGACAGCCUUCUGAAAGGAAGAUUAAUACAAGAUGGCAUCAUGAGUUCACAUGUUCACAUGAUUAAAGGUUUUCCGGUAGACGAUGGGGAUGCGUUCCAUUAGAUAGUAGGCGGGGUAACGGCCCACCUAGUCUUCGAUGGAUAGGGGUUCUGAGAGGAAGGUCCCCCACAUUGGAACUGAGACACGGUCCAAACUCCUACGGGAGGCAGCA
rnacentral:rRNA from 1 species